ACCCAGCUUGAGAAGAUGAAGAAGUACGCUACUGUCAUCCGUGUUUUGGCCCACACUCAGAUCAGAAAGAUGAAGGGAUUGAAGCAGAAGAAA